GGCUGUGAAAUCUACAGUUAUUUACUGUCGAUUUCACAGUAACAUUACUGUAUAAGAUUUUUACAGUAGAAUAUUGUAAAGUUUACAGUAAGACUGUAAAAAUCACAGUAGUCCAAGCAUUACAGUUGAAAUCACAGUAGUCAAAGCAUUACUGUAAAAAAAUCACAAUUUAGCCACUAUAGUACUGUAAAUAGUAAAGUAAACUACUGUAAUUUUCCUUUUUUUAUCAUAUCUUUCUUUGUACCCCUUUCACAUGGACGGCUCCAGAUUAUUGUUGUUCAGAAUUCAUUACCGGAAUAUGAUGUAAAUACUCGAUGGUGAGCUUUAAGUAAAAGUAUAAUAUUAAUAAAUUAAAAUGUGUCAUGUAACUUGUACUCUGAUGCACCUGCUGCAGGUGCUUUCUAUUCCAUACAAUAUAUAUUUUUUAAAGAAUUCACAUAAGAUUCCAAGAAUAUUUUUUGUUUGUUUGUUUUGUGACUGUAAAUGGGUGUUUGGGUGUAAAUGGGUGUUAACAGGGCAAUAAAAUAUUUGAUACGCCUUAUCUUAAUCUCCAAAGUCUCCCCUGACAUGGUCUAACAAUAUAUUCCAGAUGUGUAACUUUUUGUGUUCAAAAUUUACAAAAAAAUAUACAAUGGGAAUGUACAACAUGAAUCUAUUUUCCAAACCGUGUUUGUGUCUUACCCUGAAUUAUUAUGGUAAUGGUACACCUAGAAUAAGUGUGUAUAUUCGGACUAUUUUAGACCAGUCUGGUAGGAACCGCUGCGGAGUAUCACAGUACCUGCGUGACUCGUCAUAGACAUAAACAGAGAGAAGUAGCUCCGGCUACAAUGUUCUUCCGCAAAAUGCAUGCCGUUUUGUUUAUGAACUGCUAGAGUGCCAAAAGUUACAGACUUGUUUAUAUAUUAUAUAUAUGUUGUGUUUGUGAAUUACGGAUAUUUAUUGGAUGGGGCAUGCGCGAGACAAAUUCGAAAUUUUAAACAAGCAAGUCAAACGGACUUUCGGAGAAUCUUGAGUACUGCGCAUGCGCAUCAUUUGGUUCUGUAACGGUCGACCUCCAGCAGACGGACACAGUAAAAGCAGCUGAGGAGAGACAGUCAUGAUGCCAUGACAAUAAUUGAUGAUUAAAAGCAGGGAUAAUCUCCAGGUGGACUGCACGGGUCCAGGAUCUAGAGAUCAUUCAUCAUGAGGACUAUGUUCCAGGAGAAGCAGCAUAUCCUGGGUGAAAAACUAUGCCUUAAUUUUUCCAAUAUCACUUAGGUAAGACUAAAUGUAUUUAAAUUGAUUUCAAUCAUGGGUCAUUUGUUUCAGGUCUACUUGAUCAUUUUGUUGGCCUGGAUGUGAGAACAUGGUCAAAAGGUGUGUCAAUCAGCAUCCAGCCAUAAAAGAUGCCUUCUCGUUAAAAGGCUCAGAAGGACAAACAGCUGCCAGAGGAGGAUGAUGAUGAUGAUGAUGGCAGUGGUGACCGAGAUGAAGAGGAGGAGGAACAUCUUCCAGUUUGCAAAAAUCCAAAGUGAUCCUUGCCUCAGAAGAGCCUGAGAAAGACACACUUCCUCCUCUCACAGCUCUCCAUCAUCUUCCUCCUCAACACUGUUGGAAAGAGUGUUCUACACAGCUGAGGACACGGUAAUGAGAGAUCUCAAAUUCUUCCUGAGAAAGUCCACAUGUUAAUUUUCUUGAACAAAAACUGUACAUGUAUUUUUGGGUGGGCCAAACUAUUAUUUGAAGAAAUGCUAAAAAUCUCUAUAUUGCUCUUUAUACAUAUCUUUUACUCUUUAUGAAUGUCAUCUUCUAGAUUUUUUUUAUCUUUUGGGAAGCUCAAGGACUGUAUAUCUUUGGUAAUUGUGAUAUCGUCUGGUAAAAGUUCUAGUAAAGCAGUAUUAAAGCACAUUACCUCAGUAUAUAUUACUCAUACAGGACACUUAGGAAAUGGUUUAAAACAUUUUUUUGCAAAUAAAGUAAUAAAAUAUCUGCUGAAUCUUUUUUCACAUAUUUGUCAUUUUUGUGCUAAAUUUUGGAGAGUAGUAAUCAUAAGAGUAUAAAUAUAAUUGAUAAAAUCAUUAUUUAACUAUACCCAUCUCUCUAAUGAUGAAACACUUUUUCAAUAAAAAGAAUAAAACAUUAAUCAUUUGGUUACAUUUAUUUAUUGAUUGUAUUGUUUGGUCUAUGAAUGUGUUUGAUUUAUGAAUUCAUGUGUUCAAUUUUCUGUACUCAUAACUUAAUAACACUUGGUUGCAUGGUAAUGUUAAUGUAUUGGCUUAUUGUACAAAGUAACAAUGCUGAUGAUUUCAUGGAUGCAGUGUGUUUCUAGCCAUUUUCUAUCAUAAUUUAAUGAGGGCAUCUAUUGGUUUCCAUUACAUAUUUUGAUCUGCAAAUGUAUUAACCAAACCAAUACAAUUCCUUAUAACAAUUAGAAUUUAUAAUGUUUUAUAGCAGAGAAUUAAGUGUUCAGUUCUGCAUGGAUUCUGUGCAUGGAACACAGAAAGUUCGUUAACUUUGGAUGGUAUAAUGGCAUGUUGUCCAAUGUCCAUUAUCCCUUUAUGUUGUACCUGUUUUGUCAUUCCUGUUCACCAAAUGUUUUGAAAUAAAUAACUGUUAACAAUU